rnacentral:rRNA from 1 species
AUGCAUACAACAUUAUCAGUUGGGGAUUCUGCUGGUUCAUCUGCUCCUUGUUAUUUGUCCCAGGACUCAUGCGCUUGGGCUGAUGCUGCUAUCUUGGUGACUGCUCUUGUUCAUCAUCUCAGAGGCUUGUGGAUCAGCUCCUUGUCUUGUGAUGGAAACACAAAAGGCAUUAUGCAUGAGAUGACUAUAAUUCCAUCAUCAGUUCCGAAGGACUCUAUGGAGCUGAGCUCCCAGCGCUGUCAGCGUGAGGGGUUUCUGGAUCAGGCCGUUUAUCCCCGAGUGGCGGCACAUCUCACGGAUGCUGUCGUCGACGGUCACGGCGAGAGCAGCAACUAUGAGGAGCCAGCGCCUGUUCUUGAGCCCCCUGAUCUGGAGUGCCACCUCAAAUGCAUCCAUGUCAAGGUCCAGGAGGAGGAGCUGGAAGGAGGAGCCGGCGCUCCCCAGCAAGGCCAGGCAAUGGGCGCCUGA